UACGUAGGUGGCAAGCGUUGUCCGGAUUUAUUGGGUUUAAAGGGUGCGUAGGCGGCUUUGUAAGUCAGUGGUGAAAUACUCUAGCUUAACUAGAGGGGUGCCAUUGAUACUGCAGAGCUUGAGUACAGAUGAGGUAGGCGGAAUUGACGGUGUAGCGGUGAAAUGCAUAGAUAUCGUCAAGAACACCGAUAGCGAAGGCAGCUUACUGGGCUGUAACUGACGCUGAGGCACGAAAGCGUGGGUAGCAAACAGG
rnacentral:rRNA from 1 species